rnacentral:rRNA from 1 species
CCUACGGGCGGCAGCAGUGGGGAAUAUUGGACAAUGGGGGAAACCCUGAUCCAGCGACGCCGCGUGAGUGAAGAAGUAUUUCGGUACGUAAAGCUCUAUCAGCAGGAAAGAAAAUGACGGUACCUGACUAAGAAGCCCCGGCUAACUACGUGCCAGCAGCCGCGGUAAUACGUAGGGGGCAAGCGUUAUCCGGAUUUACUGGGUGUAAAGGGAGCGUAGCCGGCAGCGCAAGUCUGGGAUGAAAUGCCGGGGGCCAACCCCGGAACUGCUCUGGAAACUGUGAGGCUGGAGUGCAGGAGAGGUAAGCGGAAGUCCUGGUGUAGCGGUGAAAUGCGGAGAUAUCAGGAGGAACACCGGCGGCGAAGGCGGCUUACUGGACUGUAACUGACGUUGAGGCUCGAAGGCGUGGGGAGCAAACAGGAUUAGAUACCCCAGUAGUC